AUGUUUCCUGUAGCUCUGCUGCUGCUGCUGUUGGCAGCUGGAUCCUGUGUGAAGUGUGGAACAUUGACACAGCCAGCCUCUAUGACUGUGCAGCCAGGUCAACGUCUGACCAUCACCUGUCAGGUCUCUUAUUCUGUUAGUAGCUAUUACACAGCUUGGAUCAGGCAGCCUGCAGGGAAAGGACUGGAGUGGAUUGGAACAGACACAUUCUACAAAGAUUCACUGAAGAACACAUUCAGUAUUGACUUAGACACUUCCAGCAACACAGUGACUCUAAAUGGACAGAAUAUGCAGCCUGAAGACACUGCAGUGUAUUACUGUGCCAGAGACACAAUGAUACAAACCAUCAGUAGACAUGAACAAAAAACCCUCAGUGCCUGAACACUUGUAACACCUUCAGACCACUGAUGAUUUCACACCAGCUUACUGUUACUGCCUUAAAAUUUCACAAAUUAAUAGUUGCAGCACAUACUACUCUCAGUCAGUCUGAAGACACUUCACCAUCUGUAUAUCAUAAUUACUGUGCUAUAAUGCUAACUAACAUUCAAAAAUAUAAGUUUGGCUUCAUGCUGACAAUAUAGGUCUUGUCACUCUCCAGUGCAGGAAACGGUGUUUGGUUUUUGAAUUAGUGUUCAUCACUGUGUAUGGUUGGGUAGCACUGAGAUAUACACCCACACAAAAACCUGAGAACAAGUAUUUUUCAACUCAUCCUUUUGUCAUUUCAAGAAAAGGUCCAGAACAAAAUAUAUCAUAUUGGAAUAUGAGGUAACUACCAUGUUUUAAAUGUUGCUUUGCAGAUUAAUAGAUAAAAGGUAGUCAAUUAAUAGUUGUAAGUCAUAGUUCUUGCACACAGGAUUGUUUUCUUCCAGUAAAACCUAACUUUAAAAAGUGACUUAGAGUUAACAUUGAAGACAAACUCACAGGAUGAGGGCAGGAGAACUACUAGAUACUGGAGUUCUUUGCAUUUUGUACAAGAACUGACAUUUAUAAGGUUUAAUCUGGCAUUUUAGGUUUUUGUUCAAGCAGUGAAUGGAGAGGCAUCACUGUGAUUAUUUUGACUACUGGGGUC